UGCAAGUCGAGCGGUAGCACAGGGAGCUUGCUUCUGGGUGACGAGCGGCGGACGGGUGAGUAAUGUGUGGGAAACUGCCUGAGGGAGGGGGAUAACUACUGGGAACGGUAGCUAAUACCGCAUAACGUCGCAAGACCCAAGAGGGGGACCUUCGGGCCUCUUGCCAUCAAAUGUGCCCACAUGGGAUUAGCUAUUAGGUGGGGUAAUGGCUCACCUAUGCGACAAUCCCUAUCUGGGCUGAGAGGAUGACCACCCACACUGGAACUGAGACACGGUCCACACUCCUACGGGAGGCAGCAGUGGGGAAUAUUGCACAAUGGGCGCAAGCCUGAUGCACCCAUGCCGCGUGUAUGAAAAAAGCCUUUUGGUUGUAAAGUACUUUCAGCGAGGAGGAAAGCAUUGUGGUUAAUAACCGCAGUGAUUGACGUUACUCUCACAAAAAACACCGGCUAACUCCGUGCCACCAGCCGCGGUAAUACGGAGGGUGCAAGCGUUAAUCGGAAUUACUGGGCGUAAAGCGCACGCACGCGGUCUGUCAAGUCGGAUGUGAAAUCCCCGGGCUCAACCUGGGAACUGCAUUCUAAACUGGCAGGCUAUAGUCUUGUAGAGGGGGGUAGAAUUCCA
rnacentral:rRNA from 1 species